AAAUGUUACUCUUUUAGUAUUUCUCCAGUAGGUUUCCUGAAGGAGAAAGCCCAC
ensembl:snRNA U7 U7 small nuclear RNA